UUAAAUUUUUGAGAUUUUUAAAACUUAUCUUUAGUUUUCAAAAGUUUAUGAUGUGUCCUGGCCUGGAUUUCUUUGUGCAUAUCCUACUUGAGGUUUGCUCAGCUUCCUGAAUUUAUGGAUUUAUGUAUUUUAUCAAAUUUGGGAAGUUUUCAGCCAUUUUUCCUCCAAAUUCUCUUCAGCCCCACUCGCUCUCUUCUCUCGCUCAGGGGCUUCAGUGACACAAGGUUUAGAUCCCUCGUCAUCGUCCCACAGCCCUUGAGCCUCUGCUCGCUCAUGUUGUUCGGUCUACUUUCCCUGUGCUGCUCAGACGGGGCAAGUUUGUUUUAAGUUCCUGACUGUGUUCUGUCACCUCCACUUUGCUAUUGAACCCAGUGAGUUCUUUCACUUCUGUUAUUGUAAUUUUCAGCACUAUAAUUUCUACUUUCUUUAGGAGGUUUUCUAUUUUUUAUUCAUUUCAAGAGACUUUGUAAUUUCUUCUUUAAACAUGUUUAUGAUUCCUGUUUUGAAAUCCAUGCCAAAUAUUUCCAACAUCUGAUUGAACUCAAGACUGUCACCUGUAGAUGGUUUUUUCCUCACUCAAGUUGUGAUUUUCCUGGAUCUUGGAAUGAUGGGCUCCACACCCACCAUGAGAUGCAGCUCUGUGACUUCCCUUCCCUUCCUGCCCCCAGAAAGACCUGGGGAUAGACGGGAAACAGCAGCUGUGCCUCUCCCCAGCGUGGUGACCCUUGCCGUCCACUCCUAGGUGUACCCCUAGUUCCUUCACUACAAGUCAGUCAACAGAAAACACUGUGAGCAACUACUGUGUAGAAAGGCUACCCUGACAAUAAGGUAAGGUUUCUGUCCUCGUGGGCUUCGCGGCAGCAAGGGAGGCAGCAGAACCCCUGAGCACAGCAGGUGGCGGGGGUGGGGUGCCAGGGUGUUGAGGGCAGAGGGGCCGUUCACCUGGGCCCAGGCAGGCUUCCUGGACAAGGUGCCUGCCUGGAGGGGGUGCGACUUUAAGUCAGAGGUAGGGAAAGAUGAAAUAAGAGACAAUUUUCUCUGCAUUACAGACCAACGUAAGAGCAAAUGUGUAAAGAUAUAGAAGUUUGGGGCAUAUUCAAGCAACAGGGAUUGUUCUGGUACGACGCUUAGCUAAGUCGAGGUUUUCAAUCUUCAGUAAAAAUCAUUUGAGAUUCUCCUAUAAACAAAAGGGCUCAGAUUUCCCUGCCAGAUAUUUUGGUCCAGAGCAAGAGUCAAUGAUGAGUCUGUAUUUCAAAAUCUCCAGGGGGCUCCUGGGCAGCACGGGGAGCCAUGCUUUGAGAGACAGUGGGGUCAGUGACAUCUGAAGGGUGAAGUGACAGGCAGCAGGGGAGCGGAGGGUGGGGCCAGCAGGCAGAGGACGAGCUAAGCCAGGUGGAGUUUCAGUCUAUUCUCCAGUAACUGGAGAGCGGCUGGCGCUUUGGGAAGGAGACGAAGUCGUCCACGCUGGCGUAGGCAGCGGGCGGUGAGAGCGUCACCAGGGCUCUGUUACAGGGGUAGCGGGAAGGAAGAGGAGCGCAGAGGUACAAUGAAAACACUUUAAUUCAGGACUCCCAAGAUCGGAAUCAGCGCUGCCGCUAACCACGCGGCCUUGGGUGAGGCAUUUAGCCUCCGCGUCUCGGGAACCUGCGCUGUGAAACGGCGAUUACAGCUGACAGGUGCCUUUGUUGCUCCCCCAAAUGCAUAUACUUUCUUUCUGUAAUUUGGAGACUGUCAGAUGUGCGGCUCAUGGUUGGCGGAGGGCCAGACGUUCCCUCGGCCUGCCCCUGGGUUUGAGCCAGCCCAGGUCCGCCUGAUCCUUUGAGUUUUGCAGGAAAGAAGGAAACUCCCCCCGGCAGUGGUGACAUGGAGGCUCCGCCAGAAGCGGGGGCACCAGGUGCCCGGGGUGUCUCCUGGGCUGGGACCCACACUGGCUCCCUGCUGUCGAGCCCGCCGGACUCCCGCUCUUCCGCGGCCUGCGCUCCACGCCGCCCACACUGCCGGCUAGUUCCUGUGGGCUAAAGGGAUGUGAAACUUCUGGGUCUCGUGCAUUUAAAUAAGAGAGAUUUAUUUAAUUGAAAAAGGGACGUUUAGACGAGACGGUGGGGCGUUUGACAAAGCUGGUUUCAGACGCGCCAGUCCGAGGCCCCACCGAGACAAGCGCGGCAGAGGAAACCGAGGUGGGGAUCAGGCCCGCGCGGCUGCGCUGCGGCAACGGGAGAACCUCAGUGCCAGGUGGAGGAUGGAACACACGGGGCCUUGUGCCCCCAAGGAGGGGAAGCCUAACUGCCCACUCUCUAAAUGCGGGCUGCGCGUAAGGACCUCCUCCCAGGCGGACAGCGUGGAAGGGGGCAAGAGUCACUUUGCAGUGGAGACCCCGGCAGACGCCUCAGCCAGGUGACCAGUGCUGGCGCCCACAGUGAUAAACCAUGAUGACAGUGUGUGCUCCCCAUACGACAUGAUGCAGAUGGCACUUUCCCUCCCGAAAGCACAUUACCCCAGCCGAGUCAAGAGAAAAUUGUCAGACAAAUCCCAAUUAAGGGACUUUCUACAGAAUACCUAACCAGUACUUCUCAAAAAUAAAGAAAGCUCUUAUAGUAAAGAUUAAA